rnacentral:rRNA from 1 species
UGGGGAAUAUUGCACAAUGGGCGAAAGCCUGAUGCAGCAACGCCGCGUGAGUGAUGAAGGUCUUCGGAUUGUAAAGCUCUGUCUUUUGGGACGAUAAUGACGGUACCAAAGGAGGAAGCCACGGCUAACUACGUGCCAGCAGCCGCGGUAAUACGUAGGUGGCGAGCGUUGUCCGGAUUUACUGGGCGUAAAGGGUGCGUAGGCGGAUGUUUAAGUGAGAUGUGAAAUACCCGGGCUUAACUUGGGUGCUGCAUUUCAAACUGGAUAUCUAGAGUGCAGGAGAGGAGAAUGGAAUUCCUAGUGUAGCGGUGAAAUGCGUAGAGA